rnacentral:ncRNA from 9 species
AAGUCGUAACAAGGUUUCCGUAGGU